rnacentral:rRNA from 2 species
GCUUGCUUUCUGGGAAAGUGGCGCACGGGUGCGUAACGCGUAUGCAACCUACCUUUAUCAGGGGGAUAGCCUCUCGAAAGAGAGAUUAACACCGCAUAAAAUCACAAGCUGGCAUCAGCAAAUGAUCAAAUAUUUAUAGGAUAAAGAUGGGCAUGCGUGACAUUAGUUUGUUGGUGAGGUAACGGCUCACCAAGACUACGAUGUCUAGGGGAUCUGAGAGGAUGACCCCCCACACUGGUACUGAGACACGGACCAGACUCCUACGGGAGGCAGCAGUAAGGAAUAUUGGUCAAUGGGGGCAACCCUGAACCAGCCAUGCCGCGUGCAGGAAGACGGCCCUCUGGGUUGUAAACUGCUUUUAUCCGGGAAUAAACCCUUUUACGUGUAAGAGGCUGAAUGUACCGGAAGAAUAAGGAUCGGCUAACUCCGUGCCAGCAGCCGCGGUAAUACGGAGGAUCCAAGCGUUAUCCGGAUUUAUUGGGUUUAAAGGGUGCGUAGGCGGCCUAUUAAGUCAGGGGUGAAAGACGGUGGCUCAACCAUCGCAGUGCCUUUGAUACUGAUAGGCUUGAAUACACUUGAAGUAGGCGGAAUGUGACAAGUAGCGGUGAAAUGCAUAGAUAUGUCACAGAACACCGAUUGCGAAGGCAGCUUACUAAGGUGCAAUUGACGCUGAGGCACGAAAGCGUGGGGAUCAAACAGGAUUAGAUACCCUGGUAGUCCACGCCCUAAACGAUGAAUACUCGAUGUUAGCGAUAUACAGUUAGCGUCUAAGCGAAAGCGUUAAGUAUUCCACCUGGGGAGUACGCCCGCAAGGGUGAAACUCAAAGGAAUUGACG